UUUAAAUGUGAAUGCACAAAAAAACUAUUUACUGGUGUGUUCAUAUAGUUUUACACAAAUAAAAUUACAGCUGACAAAUGAUUAUUGAUAGUUUAUUUGUAAUUAUUAUUUUUUUGCAUAUGUUAAUCUUGCAUUACAACCUCAAUUUAGCCAUUACAGCUUCUUGAAUCUGCUGCUUCAAGAACACAAACGCGCUCUCGCGAGACACAGCACGUUGACACCACGCUUUGACUUUUGUCACAUUCCUUGCGAGAUAUUUGUGCCAAAACGAACUUGUGUUUGAAGAUGUGAGAGCAAAUGUGGAGGGGGGCGGGGGGUGGGGGUUCUAUAGGCCAACCAAUCACAGGCUGCGUACUUGGCAGGACGCCUUUGGAGCACUUCCUGGCUUCUUUUUUUUUUUUUUUUUUUUUUUUUUAGUAGUUGAAGAAGAAGAAGAAGAAAGUCGGAUUUUCUUGAAGUUACGGACAACCGAAAGCAGCAGCAGCGCCGGCAGUAGAGCGGAGAACACCUUUAAAUGGAGCAGACAGAGGAGUGGAUAAAAUGACCACUUCAUCAUCGGGGCCAAAGAUACUGCUGCAGUCGGAUGGAGCGAAGAGUUGAGGCAGAAUUCCAUCUACAUGUUGCAUUUCUAUGUAAAAGUCACACAAGUUAAAAGAAGUCCUGUUCAAACACCAACGUACAAAUAUAAUCUUUGAUCACAUCAAAUGAUGCUCAGAUGCCACUU